GGUUGCGAUCAUACCA
rnacentral:rRNA from 2 species